GGAAGAGUUGUCUUUUCUUUGUAGGUACCAAGUCCCUGGAAUCGGUUUAACCGGAGAUAGGGAUUCCGGUACCGUAAAGCACCGCGGCUCUUGC
rnacentral:sRNA from 1 species